GAUACAUAAACUGGAUUAAAUGUGCUUCUUCUGACUCUUAAUCAGUAGGUUCGGGGUUCGAUUCCCCGGUGUGUCACCA
rnacentral:tRNA from 1 species